UACAGAGGGUGCGAGCGUUGUCCGGAAUCACUGGGCGUAAAGGGCGCGUAGGUGGCCCGACAAGUCGCUGGUGAAAGCUCGACGCUCAACGUCGAGUCGGCCAGUGAUACUGUUGGGCUGGAGCACUGUAGAGGCUCAUGGAAUUCCGGGUGUAGCGGUGGAAUGCGUAGAGAUCCGGAAGAACACCGGUGGCGAAGGCGGUGAGCUGGGCAGUAGCUGACACUGAGGCGCGACAGCGUGGGGAGCAAACAGG
rnacentral:rRNA from 1 species